rfam:Medicago truncatula strain A17 chromosome 7, whole genome shotgun sequence.
AAACAGCCCCCUAUGUUUUGAUUCUUUGGCAGUUUUGAACCCCCAAGGCAAAAAAAAAAAAAAAAAAAAAAAAAUUGACAUGUGGCACCUCACUUAGGGUGCCACGUCAGCGUUGACCGAGUCAACAAUGGACUGGGGGUCCAAAACUGCCAAAGAAUCAAAACAUAGGGGGCUGUUU